rnacentral:rRNA from 1 species
AACGAACGCUGGCGGCGUGCCCAACACAUGCAAGUCGAACGUGACUGAAGAGCUUGCUCUUCAUGAAAGUGGCGCACGGGUGAGUAACGCGUAGAUAAUCUACCUGGUGAUUUGGGAUAACAGUUCGAAAGGACUGCUAAUACCGAAUAAGCCCACGGAGUCUUUGGAUUCUGCGGGAAAAGGGGGGGACCUUAUGGCCUUCCGUCAUCAGAUGAGUCUGCGUACCAUUAGCUAGUUGGUAGGGUAAAGGCCUACCAAGGCGACGAUGGUUAGCUGGUCUGAGAGGAUGAUCAGCCACACUGGAACUGAGACACGGUCCAGACUCCUACGGGAGGCAGCAGUGGGGAAUUUUGCGCAAUGGGGGAAACCCUGACGCAGCAACGCCGCGUGAGUGAUGAAGGCCCUUGGGUCGUAAAGCUCUGACAGAGGGAAAGAAAUGCAGGGGAGCUAAUAUCUCCUUUGCUUGACGGUACCCUCAAAGGAAGCACCGGCUAACUCCGUGCCAGCCGCCGCCGUAAUAC